rnacentral:rRNA from 1 species
GAUGAACGCUGGCGGCGUGCCUAAUACAUGCAAGUCGAGCGAACAGAUGAGGAGCUUGCUCCUCUGACGUUAGCGGCGGAAGGGUGAGUAACACGUGGAUAACCUACCUAUAAGACUGGGAUAACUUCGGGAAACCGGAGCUAAUACCGGAUAAUAUAUUGAACCGCAUGGUUCAAUAGUGAAAGACGGUUUUGCUGUCACUUAUAGAUGGAUCCGCGCCGCAUUAGCUAGUUGGUAAGGUAACGGCUUACCAAGGCAACGAUGCGUAGCCGACCUGAGAGGGUGAUCGGCCACACUGGAACUGAGACACGGUCCAGACUCCUACGGGAGGCAGCAGUAGGGAAUCUUCCGCAAUGGGCGAAAGCCUGACGGAGCAACGCCGCGUGAGUGAUGAAGGUCUUCGGAUCGUAAACCUCUGUUAUUAGGGAAGAACAAAUGUGUAAGUAACUAUGCACGUCUUGACGGUACCUAAUCAGAAAGCCACGGCUAACUACGUG